rnacentral:tRNA from 2 species
GGUCGGGUAGCUCAGUUGGUAGAGCAUCGGAUUGAAAAUCCGAGUGUCGGCGGUUCGAGCCCGCCCCUGACCA